CCGCGCUGGGACGCCCCUUUGAGGGACCCAGCCUUGAGACAGCUGCUGUGAGGGACAGUACUGAAGACUCUGCAGCCCUCGGGACCCCACUCGGAGGGUGCCCUCUGCUCAGGCCUCCCUAGCACCUCCCCCUAACCAAAUUCUCCCUGGACCCCAUUCUGAGCUCCCCAUCACCAUGGGAGGUGGGGCCUCAAUCUAAGGCCUUCCCUGUCAGAAGGGGGUUGUGGCAAAAGCCACAUUACAAGCUGCCAUCCCCUCCCCGUUUCAGUGGACCCUGUGGCCAGGUGCUUUUCCCUAUCCACAGGGGUGUUUGUGUGUGUGCGCGUGUGCGUUUCAAUAAAGUUUGUACACUUUC
rnacentral:lncRNA from 1 species